rnacentral:lncRNA from 1 species
CUUUCUUUGCCCAGGCUGGCCUGGGACCCAAACAAUGGGGCUUCUGUCCCGCCAGGUCUGCCGUCACCUUUUACCUCCCUAUUGUGCAACGCCCUCUCUUCAACAGGUUGGGCCCAGGCCAGAGGUCUCUACCAGCAAAGAGGAUAAAAGAGACUACACCUGGACAAACCCUCCCAGGCCCAGGCCUGAGCCUCACAUGUGGCCCCGGGGAAGGCAUCAGGGACUCCCUUUGCCCUCCCACUGACCUCCCUGCAAACCUCCCCCAAACCAAGGGGCAUCCUCAGCUGGCCAGACCCUGGGGGAAGGGAGAGAGCCGAGGAUCACCGGCACCUGUGGCUGGGUUACCCCUGCCAUGGACCACUGGGUGAUCAAGAAGUCAUUCCAAAAUGUGAAGCGUUCUGAAGAUAUGCACAUAGCGUAAGAACCUGGUGUAAUGUGCUGGUCAAGGCGGUCUCAGAGAGGAGAUGACGUUUGAGCUGACACCUGAGGGAUGAGAAGAAAGCAGCCAUUCCCAGGGCCCAGGGGAGGCAUCCCAGGAAGCCGGAUCAGCAUGAGCAAAAGCCCUGAGGCCUGGCACAAGUUGGUCUGCUUGAGAAGCAGGAGAGAGCCCUGAGCAUCCGGAGUGCAGCAAGCGAGGUGCACAGAGGAGCAGGAAGGGGCUGGGAGAAGGCUGGGGCCGGAUCAUGCAGGACAGGCUGGAGGAAGGGGCUUGAAUUGUCUUCUGACCACUGAGGGGAUAUAAACAUGAGGGCAAAAUCAUCUGAUUUCCAUGUGCAAAGGCCCACUCUGGCUGCUCUAGAGAGAACAGAUGAUUGCAGGGUAAAAGUGGAUUUAGAGAGGUCAGAUGGAGGCUGGGUACGUGCCGUGUAUGGUAGAUAGCAUGCUACCAAAUACACUCACAGGUAGCCCUAUUAUCUCCAUUUCACAGAUGAGCAAGUCAAGAUGCAGAAGGACUCUCUGGCUUGUCCAAGGUCACACGGCUGUUAGGAGCAGAGCAGCGUCCUGGUGCCCAAGCCCUGAGGUCCCCAGCACACUGCCUCUGCAAUGGCCACAACUGUCCAAAGACUAAGCUGACUCUCACACCUGGUAGUGUCUGUGGUCAUUCACUGUGGAUGGAAGUGGAGAAAUGCAGAAAACAGAAACACAGCUUCCCCUUUUCUGUCAUAUUUCUGUAUCGUUGGUGUUUGGAGCCAGUUGAGCACAAAGGGCCCCUGAGUGCUGUUUCCUUGUGAUAUUUGGGGGUUAACAGCUUCCCCUCAUCUCUUAAUUACCUGCCCUCCUUCACUUCAGCUGCACAUUCGUUAAAGAAUGCUCUCCCAGGAGAAGAGCUUGGUGUUAUCACCCACAAACAUCUUAGAAAACUAAUGCUAUCCUUGAGUGCCUGUUUACAGAAACAUUUUUACAUCUCACUUGACAUUUCCAGCAAAUCUUGAUCCUUCCAGCCAGGAAUAUUAAUAUAUAGGUCUUGAAAAGUGCAAGAGGCUCUUCCAUGGCUCCAAGCACAUUUGACACUCUUCCUUUUCUGAUCCCCAAGCAGACAGUGAUGAAACCCCAAUAGCUGGGCGAAUACUCAUCCAACAGGAAGAAUCAGUUUUAAGAGCUGGGUUCUCAGGGUCAAAUACUGUGGUGUGGCCUUUUGGUUGUAAUGAGUUGAAUGGAGGUCUCAAAAAAGAUAUAUCCAUGUUCUAAUCCCCAGAACUUGUGAAUGUGACCUUAUUUGGAAAAAGAGUCCUUUUGGAUGUAAUUAAGUUAAGGAUUUUGAGAUAAGGAGAUCAUCCUGGGUUAUCUGGGUGGACCCUAAAUCUGUUGACAAUGUCCUUAUGAGAGACCCCAGAGGGCACAGACAGGAAAGGAAGAGGCAAUGUGGCCCCAGAGGCUGAGAUCAGAGCUCUGUGGCCACAAUUCGAGGAACACCUGGAGCCACCAGAAGCUGGAGGAGGCAAGGAACAGAUUCUCCCUGAUCCUCUGGAUACAGAGGGAGAAUAGCCUGGCCGACACCUUGAUUUUGGACUUCUGGCCCCCAGAACUGAGAAAAUUAACUUCUGUUGUGUUAAGCAGCCACGUUUGUAGCAGUUCAUCAUAGCAGCCCUGGGAAAGAAAUACAGUGGGCUUCCAGUUCAAGGAGGAUCCACGAGGCCUGAGCUCCAUCUGUCGAUUGGAAUCACCAAAAUCAAGGUUGUGUGCGGGUAACGCCAGCACAAGCAGCUCAUGCUGGCAAAAGCAGACCAAACCGGCUCACGCAACGUCAAGUCAUCUUGAAGUGGUUCACGCACCACAGUGAGUGGUAUUGAUUGUGGUUAAGAGCCAGGUUCAAGGAGGUUUAUCACUCAGUAGCCAGGUAAAGCAGGUUCCAGGCCUGGCUCCACCACUCAACAACCGGGGAAACAGGGGUAAGCUUCUUAAAUGCUCCGUGUCUCAGUUUCUCCAUGUGUAAAAUGAGGGCACUAAUAACAGUCCCUACCUGCAAGGUGGUUGUGAAGAUGAUAUGAAUUCAUAUAUGUAAGGCACUUGGAAUUGACAAUACUGACAUACCACAAAUACAAAAUAAGUGUCUGCCAUUAUUAAGCUAACCCAAAUCAAAACAGACACAGAUGAAUUCAGAAUACUCAAGUAGACUCAGAUAUGUUCAAAUGGAGCCCACCAGUUAAAACUAGCUGAGACCAGUGUAAACUGGCUCAAGCCUUUUGGGCCAAGCUGUACUAAAACCAGAUUAAAUCAGUCAAAACAGGAUUAGAAUAGUCAGUCUGGAAUCUCUACACGCACGCCUGCACAUUUGAGGGGUCUCUCUCCGCCCCCUCUGUACAUCAGAUUGAAUAGUAACAAACAGUCCCACAUCUCCCAAGAAUGAGCAUAAUGGACAAGCAGAGGGCCGCCAAUGUCCCCACCAGAACGAGCAUAAUGGACAGGCAGGGGGCCGCCGAUGUCCCCACCUAAGACAUGCAGACAUUUCCCUGUCGGAAACGCGCUCAGAUUCUUUACGGCAGGUCAAGGCUCAAAUAUCAGAAACCAAUUUCACUCACACUAACUAAACAAGAGACGGGAUCUGUGGUUCAGGAUCCUGAGGCACUCGUGAAACUCAUGGGUAGGAAGGUCAGCUGGAGCCAGUUAGUGUCUGGAAGGCUAUCAGAGCUCAAGGCCCCUCUCUCUGGCCCAUGGAGGGGAAUUAACUCCCUCAAAGGCAGGAGCUCAGUGAGCAGGAGGCUGGUAGGGAGGUGGGAGCUGCAGGUGACCGGUUAGAAGUCAGAGGCUGUUGUGGGGGGCAGCUUGCACCAGUGGACACAAGAGCCCCAACUUGUGGGCACUUGGAAGUCCCAGGCUGUUCCCUGGCUCCACCCCGUCCUCUGGGGUGCCUGCUUCACAGAGCACCAAUAAUGCGUUUGUGUCACUCUAUGUUUCCUGGCAGGAGCAGACCUGCAGAGGGGCCAGAAGACACCUGGCCGGGUGGGGAGCAGCCCCUCCGUAAUAACAAUCGGAACCUGGGAAGAGGCGGCAAAACUGAAUCCCAGAGAGAAGACUCACUCAGACACAGCUAUCUGAACACUCUUUUCCAGUUCCCCUAGGGCAGCAGAGGAAGCAAGGUGGGGGGAAGCCAGUGGUCAAGGAUUCCAUGCGGAAUGUACCCUAGAAUUAACCCAUGGAGAGAGGGUAAGGGAACGGGCUCAGGCCUGGGAAGAAGUGGGGAGGACAGUGUCCUGUUGACCUAUUCAAAAACAUCCAGUUUUAGUUAAUUUUUAGUUCAUUAGUCACCACUUUUUAUUAGUAUCUCAUGUAUUCUUUCACAGUUUCUUUCUGCAGGUACAAAAAUAAUGAUUUUUUUUCUUUCUUUUUCUUCUUUGAGACAGGGUCUCGCUCUGUUGCCCAGGCUGUAGUACAAUGGUGCAAUCUCGGCUCACUGCAACCUCUGCCUCUGGGUUCAAGCGAUCCUUUGCCUCCGCCUCCUGAGUAGCUGGAAUUACAGGCAUGCACCAUGAUGCUUGGUUAAUUUUUGUAUUUUUAGUAGAGUCAGGGUUUUGCUAUGUUGGCCAGGCUGGGCUCCAACUUCUGGUCUCAAGUGAUCCACCCGCCUCGGGCUCCCAAAGUGCCAGGAUUACAGGCGUGAGCCACUAUGCCUGGCCAAAAGUGGCGAUGUGUUCUUAAUGCCCAUUUUCACAUAAAAGGUAAUAAUCUACCCACACCAUGCUGUACCUUGUUUGUUUUUUGUGUGUUUGUUUGUUUGUUUUUUGACAGAGUCUUGCUCUGUCAGCUAGGCUAGAGUGCAGUGGCACAAUCUCAGCGCGCUGCAACCUCCGCCUCCCGGGUUCAAGCGAUUAUCCUGCCUCAGCCUGCUGGGUAGUUGGAAUUACAGGAGCCUGCCACCAUGCCCAGCUAAUUUUUGUGCUUUUAAUAGAGAUGGGGUUUCACCAUGUUGGCCAGGCUGGUCUCGAACUCCUGACCUCAAGUGAUCCAUCCACCUUGGCCUCCCGAAGUGCUGGGAUUACAGGCGUGACCCACCGCGCCUGGCUCUUGUUUGUUUUUUUAACUAAUCACACAUCUUAGAGACCUUUAUCAGUAAUUAGAGAGCUUCCUGGAUCUUUUAUAUCACUGCUUCCAGGAGGGGCCUCCCUGGGCUCCCGGAGGACACCCACAGUCCUCACCAUGCAGCUCCCUCCAACAUCAAGCCAGGAAUGGCCGAACAGAUCUUUCUCAUGCUUCAAAUCUCUGAUGAAUUUCUCUUGCCAGAGAAAGCUUGCCAUUUUCCAAGGGCUCACCCAGUCAGAUCCGUCCAACAAGGGUGAUCUCCCUAACAUUAGGUUAACUGACUUGGAACCUCAGUUAAUCUGCAAAAUCCCUUUUGUCAUAUAAUGGAAUACAAUCAUUUGGUUCACAUGCUCAUCUUAUUCACAGGCCCUACACUCAUACAAGGGCAGGGGACCACAGAAGAGUGAAGGCCAGUGAGGGUCACCUCAGAAUUCUGCCCAACACCGGUGUUUUGUAAUUUGGGUAGAUGUUGCCAUGUUGUCCUCCGUGGGGAUUAUGCAGAGGGAACUCUCCUCCUCCAGCAACAGUACAUGUACCUGCUUUUCCAUGGUGCUGCUUAGAGAAUGUUAUCAAACCUUUGGAUUUCUGCCAGUCUGAUAGGAGAAAAAUGGAAUCUCAAUUGUAUUUUAAAAUUGUAAUUAUCGCCUUAUGAAUAAGGCUGAGCAUUUCCUCAAAAGCAUAAGAGCCAUUUAUAUACUUUUUUCUUUAUGGCUUCUGGUUUUGAGGCAUAGAAAGGUCUUUCUAGCUCUAAAGUUAAUCAGAAAUUCUCUGUUUUCUUUUUGCUUUUUUUAAAAUUUUACUUUAAGUCCUUGGAUACAUGUGCUGAACGUGCAGGUUUGUUACAUAGGUAUACAUGGGCCAUGGUGGUUUGCUGCACCUAUCAACCCGUCAUCUAGGUUUUAAGCUCCACAUGCAUUAGGUAUUUGUCCUAAUGCUCUUCCUCCUCUUUCCCCAUGCCCCCAACAGGCCCCGGUGUGUGAUGUUCCCCUCCCUGUGUCCAUGUGUUCUCAUUGUUUAGCUCCCACUUAUGAGUGAGAACAUGCAGUGUUUGGUUUUCUGUUCCUGUGUUAGUUUGCUGAGGAUGAUGGUUUUCAGCUUCAUCCAGGUCCCUGCAAAGGACAUGAACUCAUUCUUUUUUAUGGCUGCAUAGUAUUCCAAGUUGCAUAUGUGCCACAUUUUCUUUAUCCAGUGUAUCAUUGAUGGGCUUUUGGGUUGCUUCCAAGUCUUUGCUAUCGUAAGUAGUGCUGCAAUAAACAAAUGUAUGCAUGUGUCUUUAUAGUAGAAUGAUUUAUAAUCCUUUGGGUAUAUACCCAGUAAUGGGAUUGCUGGGUCAAAUGGUAUUUCUAGUUCUAGAUCCUCGAGGAGUCGCCACACUGUCUUCCACAAUGGUUGAGCUAAUUUACACUCCCACCAACAGUGUAAACGUGUUCCUAUUUCUCCACAUCCUCACCAGCAUUUGUUAUUUCCAGACUUUUUAAUGAUUGCCAUUCUAACUGGCAUGAGAUGGUAUCUCCUUGUGGUUUUGAUUUGCAUUUCUCAGCUCAUUGCAACCUCUGCCUCCCAGGUUCAAGCAAUUCUCCUGCCUCAGCCUCCAGAGUAGCUGGGAUUACAGGGGCACGCCACCAAGCCCAGCUAAUUUUUGUAUUUUUAGCAGAAACAGGGCUUCACCAUGUUGGCCAGUCUGGUCUCAAACUCCUGAUCUCAAGUGAUCCAUCCACCUCAGCCUCCCAAAGUGCUGGGAUUAUAGGCGUGAGCCACCACGGCUGGCCAUUCUCCUGUGUUUUCUUCUGGGGCUUUUAUACUUUCAUUUUUUAAAAUCCAUAGUUUCUUGGAGCUGGAGGUGUCCCUUGUCAUUUUCUCAUCAGUGAGUGCAAAGCAGGAUCCCAAAAGGAUUGGAGUCCAGAGUAGAGAAAGGAGCUGCCGCGGUGGAGUCUGUUCAGUGCAGGCUCUGAUCUCCUUCAGCCCUGCCAGGAAUCCCAGCCAGCAGAUCUUCUUCCAGCUUCCCUUUCUCCAGCACUCUUGAUCUUCUGGGCUGGCACAGGGUCCAGGGUUGAUGGGGAUCCUAGCUGCCUGAGGAGCUUCCAGUCUGGAGGGUGAUACAAGCACAUGGCCAGACCUGAAUUCAAGCCAUGAGAGAGAUUCAGAACCUGGGCUGGGAGCGCAGGGGAGGGAGCGGGGUGCUGAUGGGGGUGGAUGGGAGGCUCCAGAGAGGAGGUGGCGUCUGAACUGAACCUUAAGAAUGAGGGGAAAUGUAAUGGCAGCGAUGAGAAAGGGGAGGCACUUCAGUGCAGAGAACAGCAAGAGCAAAGACAAGGAGGUGGAAAAUCAGCCAGAAACCUAGCCUGGAGAGGGUUUAGUGGACCAUGGGUCCUUGAUGGUAGAGACACAACAUGACUUAUCUCUGUGUCCCAUCCUCUGUGCCAGAGGCGGCAUCGACCAGACUUGGACAAAUGAAGCAGAAGGGACAGGGGACUUAGAAUACUAGGCUGCAUCAUUUUCUUUUUACUCUGACAGUGAGAAGCAAAGACCUCCACAAAGAAAGAAGCCCUUGGCUGUGUCAUCAUUUUAGAAUCUGGGCACUCUCUGCACACCACUGCCCCCUCAUGGCUGAUCUAGGAAUUCUCUCUAAAUCCCAGACUGAAGGUGAGGAGGAGGCUCAGUGAGUCUUAGAGAUUUGAAAAGCCGUGAAAUCCUGGUUGGAGAACAUCUGAGUCCAAAGGGCCCUCAGAGACUCUCUGACUUCCUCAUUA